GCUUGUUUCCUCAGAAGCAUGAGGACACCAAAAUGACCAGGGGUAAAUGGAACUAAGACUUCCAAGCCAGCAGAACAUAAGGUCGUGGGGACAGAAAGCAAGUGGAUCACUGGGGGUGAUGACUCUAAAAUGGGGAUGUGGUUGUCUUGGACUCAGGCCAACAGCUUUCUCCAAAUUGAAGAGAGGUGAGCUGGAGGAAGGCCAGGUCCCUGUGGAUGUGCCACACUACCUGCAUGGGUCCCUGGGACGCACAUGCUGAACAGGCCCACCCUGGACACUCUCCCCAUAUCCCUGUGACGUGGUCCUGUAUUCCACAUCCUCAGUUAAAUGUUUCUCCUCGAGGGGCUCCCCGCUCACCCCUUUAAAUAAAUCACAGUCCUUCCCCA